rnacentral:rRNA from 1 species
GACGGACGCUGGCGGCGUGCUUAACACAUGCAAGUCGAACGGUGAAGCCCUUCGGGGUGGAUCAGUGGCGAACGGGUGAGUAACACGUGAGCAACCUGCCCCUGGCUCUGGGACAACCACUGGAAACGGUGGCUAAUACCGGAUACGACCCGCCUCGGCAUCGAGUGUGGGUGGAAAGUUUUUCGGCUGGGGAUGGGCUCGCGGCCUAUCAGCUUGUUGGUGAGGUGAAGGCUCACCAAGGCGACGACGGGUAGCCGGCCUGAGAGGGCGACCGGCCACACUGGGACUGAGACACGGCCCAGACUCCUACGGGAGGCAGCAGUGGGGAAUAUUGCACAAUGGGCGAAAGCCUGAUGCAGCGACGCCGCGUGAGGGAUGACGGCCUUCGGGUUGUAAACCUCUUUCAGCUCCGAAGAAGCGAAAGUGACGGUAGGAGCAGAAGAAGCACCGGCUAACUACGUG